rnacentral:rRNA from 1 species
UACGGAGGGUGCAAGCGUUAUCCGGAUUUACUGGGUUUAAAGGGUGCGUAGGCGGCUUUUUAAGUCAGUGGUGAAAGCCUAGCGCUUAACGCUAGAACUGCCAUUGAUACUAGAGAGCUUGAGUCAAGAAGAGGUAAGCAGAAUUCAUGGUGUAGCGGUGAAAUGCAUAGAUACCAUGAGGAAUCCCAAUAGCGAAGGCAGCUUACUGGUCUUUGACUGACGCUGAGGCACGAAAGCGUGGGGAG